UGUUGCCUCCACCGAACACCUCCACCUUCUCCCUUCAUCUCCACCUACCGCCGCUGCCUUGGCAGCUCAGCCACAUGCAUCCUCACCUUCUUAACCACCUCAUCUUCCUCUAUUCAACCAUGUCUCUCAAUCAUUUAUUCACUCAUGGCUUUGGUGAGAUUGAAGAUGAGACAGUGGAGUGGUCUUGGCACUCUUGCGAGUUCUCAAGCUCCGACGAAGUUCUUAGCCCCAAUAUGGUAAACCCAGUCCUCCCCUUCGAUUUCUAGCCCGAUUAUACUUUUACCUCUUCAAGUUGGAACGUGACUGAAUUUCCCUUCUUUACUUUUCACCACCACUGCGUUGAUGCCAUCCUCCUCCAUCAUUUCAACGAUGCAGUGAAACCUAGCAGCCUUCAAAACAUACUCUGGUAAGCCAGUUCUCCAAAUUGAUUUCCUCUUUCAAAUUUCUCGGAUUAGAAAUUUGGAAUCUAAUCCCCAAUUCUCUUUUCCUUUUUCUGUUUUGGUUUCUGCCGAGAAAUCUAUACUCCAUCGUCCUCUCUUUCAAGCCUAGGCGAUUUGCAGACCAUGAGCAGCAUAAAAUCAUCAUGGAGCGCUAGUGGCGUAGUGGCAGCUCGAGUUGAAGCCGAGAAGUGCAGUGGUCAUCAAUUUCCAUCCUUGGUUUCUCUGAGAGUUGAUGCAACGAAAUCGUACAAAGCUGGAGCAGUAGCAGCAUCGUUAUAUCGGAUCUGUAAUAGCAGCGAGGAUUCUGCACUUUAAUUCAGUUUCUGUGCAGGUUAGGAGCCAGUAAGAGUUUAGGAAAUGUGAAGUUUAGGAGUACACAUCCUUUGAGCCGUUUGAAGUCACUUUUAGUUUAUUAGCUCUCUCUUGUAUCUUGUUCUUAUUGAGAUAUUAGUUCCGAGGUUGUAUUAUAAAUCAUGUCACUUUUGUUGUAUAUUUUGGGUUGCCAUAGCUAUAUUUGUUUUGGGCCAAUGACUCUUUGAUCACUUUUCGUUGUUUUCAAAAUAUUGUAAA